UUUUGUUUUCAGAGGAGUAGAAGAAAAAUCCCUGGAGCUGAUCGGUGCUGCAGUGCAUCCUUCUAACUUCGAAGAGAAAUGGGGGAAAAAAAAUCAAAAACGCAUUGGAGGUACCAGAGGGUUACAGAAAGGAAGAAGAGAACAUCGAAAUCUGCCCCAGCAGCAAUUUCGGGAAAUUCAAGUAAUGCCCCCCUGUGUGGCCCUCUGGAAUCGUACCUGGUAAGGGUAAAGGGCAGUGUGUCCUCUAUGUCUGUGCUAC
rnacentral:lncRNA from 1 species